rnacentral:lncRNA from 1 species
GUUGGGGUCGUGCUUCGGUGCGCCGAAGGUCCCACGCGAAGAAGCAGCUUCGGCUGAAGCCGUCCCAAGGAGACGGCCGAAGGUUCCUUUUAUGGAGCUUCGGCAUUACAAACCGACAUGGAGAUAGAAUGACCUUUUUAUCCAUAAUAAUCUGAGUCAAUGUUAAAAACUUUUGUAAGGGGCAUAAUUGUAAUUUGUCACAGGCUGCGACCUGUGUCUAUAAAUAGAUGAACAGUACCUCUGUACUGUUCACGCGAACCUGACUUGGCAUUUGCUUUUGCGUCACGCUUGUACUUUUACCUUCUUUCAAGACCGAAGGUACAUUUGUAAUUUGAAGUUAUUUAUAUUCGUUCAUGAUAAUAAGAAUAAAGUUUAUUCUAUGAUAAUACUUACAUGUUUAUUUCAUACUUCAUGAUUUGUAUGAAUACUUCGUUCUUUGCUACUAUGCUUACGAAGGUAUGUCCUUCGUAACCUUCGUCCGAGAUUCUUUAUAUCCCGAAGGGAUAUAACGUUUGGAGGACGAAGGACUUUAACACUUAACAUUUUCUGUGUUGCCUUGUUCUUAAUUCUUAGUAUUUGAGAACAAGUCCCCAACAUUGGCGCCCACCUCCGGUGAACCCUUUUCGACCACCUUCGGCAAGCAUCUUCCUUCGUCAUGCCGCCAAAGAAAGCUUCAGCGGCUGGGGCUGCAGCAUUGCAACCGCUGGACCACAACCAGGACACCGUCUCUCUUCGGGAGGCUCGAAGCCAAAAGAGAAAGGCUGUUAGCCCAACGCUUCAGGAAGAAGAGCUAGAUCAAGAAAUCAGGGAUAUGGAAAUACUGCAUCAACAGGUGUAGAGGAAGAAGGAGAAGAUGGCCCGGCUAGCUGAGUUGCAACGGCAGAUAGACGAAGCCUCUGAGGAAGUUCGCCAUCUUACUCAAGACGAGCAAAACCGAAGGCCACAACAAAAUGACCUUCGCCAAGACGGUUUCUUCAAUGAAGAUGACUGGUAUGACAACUUCCAUCAUGGAAAUUUUGUUUUUGAUGAUGCUUCUCCCCUGUCUGCUGAGCUGCAGGCUACACCUUGGCCUCCAUCCUAUAAGCCACCCCAGCUUCCCAUGUUUGAUGGCCACUCGGACCCGAAGCAGUUCUUGAUGAGCUACGAAGCAACAGUGUCUUCGUAUGGGGGCAACGCUGCAGAGGUGCCAGGGGCUUCGGCGGAAGAUUUGGGGAUCAGCCAAGGAGGCUGUUUUGCUUGUUUUGUGGAGAAAACAAGGGACAUACCACCAGGACGUGUCAUGUUACAACUCAAAAGCAAAAGGAGAUAACCGAAGCUGCGGCGCAACAAGCUCAGCCGAAGCAGGUCAUGCAUACUGCUUCGUAUCAUCCACCUUACAUCCCACAGUACAUAGACAACCACCCUGCAGCUUCCGUAGCUUCGGCAAGUCAACCUCAAGCUUCCUGGCAACAGUUUCCACCUCCACCUCCACUACAGCAAGGUCAACCGCCAGAAGGGAGUCAAUAUGCUCCACAACAAAGGGAACUCAGGGAACAGUCCGAAGCUCGCACAGUCAACAGCACUGUGCCAGAAUCGAAACACAUCUAUUGACAUAUAUCCUACCCUUGAUAGCAGCCUUUUCUUAUUCAGUUCUAUCUUUCAUGUAAUAAAGAACAGUGUUAAGUUUUCAUAUAAUAAUUUCGUUGUUUUUUACGAGGAAAGCUUAUUUCUUCCUCAGGUUUAAGUGCCAAAAGUUUUAGAAAAUCGCUGCGAUAACAAGAAGGAUCGUCAAGGCCCGGUUCGUACAGACUGAAGGACAUGGAUGGCAAUGAAAUUCCAAGAUCUUGGAAUGCCGAUGAGCUUCGGCGAUUUUAUGUAUAACUUGAUGUAAUUUUUCAUGUUUUUUUUCUUUUCUUUUUCAUGGCACCCCUUUUCCUUUCUAAAGGGGGAGAAAGGUUUUUAAUGGGGCCAUCACAUGUAAUUUUUCAUUUUAGUUUUAUAAGAGCAAAAUCCCCCAAAGAUGUACAUGUAAAAGCUGAGAGCGCACCAUCGAGUGCCGAAACUGAAAAAGAGAAAAAGCUCCGAAGUCGUCCCUAAGGGGAUGCAGAGCUUACAGCGAAAAGUCAACGCUGAUUCCGCCGAAAGUAAAAGGCGAAGAAGCUCCAAAGACGUUCCCAAGGGAAUGCAGAGCUUAUACCGUCUAAGUAAAAGACGAAGAAGCUCCAAAGACGUCCCUAAGGGGAUGCAGAGCUUACAGCGAAAAGUCAACGCUGACAUUGCCUAAGUAAGAGGCGAAGAAGCUCCAAAGUCGUUCCUAAGGGAAUGCAGAGCUAAUGUGUGGUUGUUUCCAAGUAAUGGCUGACAAUAUGGCUUCGGACAUAUGCUUCGGACAUUCAUUCGUGCAUUACAUUACAUCAUAACAUUCGCAUGCAUAAGCAUUCAUUCAUAGCAUUUGUGUUCCCAAGUGGCUGCUUCGGCAAAAAAGCUUCGGAGAAGUGCCUUUUCAUGACUUGUUACGUGCAAAAGUGAAAAGUUCCGUUGCUUUGGCACAAAGAAAAGUUUCAGUAUAAGGGAGAACUGGAUUUUUAUGAAUCGUUGUGUAAAAGAGUAGUAGUCUUUUAUGUUUUGUCAUGUAAAGGAAAGCUUCGGCAGAAAAGAGAAAGUAGUUUUUUAUGUUUUGUAAAGGAAAGCUUCGGCAGAAAAGAGAAGUAGUUUUUUAUGUUUUGUAAAGGAAAGCUUCGGCAGAAAAGAGAAGUAAUUUUUAAUGUUUUGUACAGAAAAGCUUCGGCAGAAAGGAGAAGUAGUCUUUUAUGUUUUGUCAUGUACAAAAAAGCAAAGCUUCGGCAAAAAGAGGAAGCGACCUUUUAGGCUUCGUUGUGUACGAAAAGAAGGGAAGGUGUUUUUUCGCCUUCGGCUCAAAAUACUGAUUUCGUCCACAACAAAGCGCCUCAAGCAAAGGGUAAGAAUAUAUUACAAGGUAUGUACAAAGUUCCUUGAAGAUAGUCUAGUUGUGUUUACAAGAAUUGUUACAAAAAUAUCCUGAGUUUUUCUACAGUACACUUCUACUGAUCUUCAUUAAGUUUCAGCUUCGACGACAUAAUUUAGGCAUCAUCUUCACCUUCGUCAUCCUACAUAAAUUAAGAGUUUAUGAGUAAAAAUCAAGACCAAAGGGGAAGGUAACUCCGAAGUAUCAUUUCUUACUGGUUCAAGAUGACUUCGUGCUUCGUCUCCAGCUUUCUCCCGCCCGCCUUUUGUCCAUAUCAUUUUUAUAAAUCUAUUGGAGAUGCUUCGGGCGAGGUCAGGCAUAUCAUCCAGGAUUGAUGGAGAUAAGGUGAAGUUGGGCCUGUUGACAAUUUUUCCGUGUUCGCAGCCGGUCUUCAGAAAUGCAGCAGCGGUACCCCGAGAAGCUACCCAAGCACAGAAGUCGCCGUGCCCGGCUAUGACUUCGUCGAGCUCGUCAAUCUCCCCCUCAAUGUGUUCAAAGGUUUUCGGUAGAUCUUCAGCUGAGGGGGUAAAUUUUUCGCUGCUAGCUCCAACCGAGUAAAAAAUCUUUCUUAAUCGUUGAAUGCACUUGUUGCUAAAUUCCAGGCAUUUUUCUUGAAGAUUUGUCAGUAGUUUUCUCAAAUCUGAAUUCUGCUGAGCUUCGGCUUCAAGUUUUUCAUUGAGAUCUUGUUUUUCUCGUUCGAACUGCUCGGACUGGCGGAGAAGCUUCGAGUUUAGUUCUGAUAUUUUUGCUUCAGCUUCCGCCAGUAAGCCUUCGGCUGCCUGGAGCUCAAAGUUCUUUUUCUCAAAAGCAUCUGAUUGCUCCUUUAUUUUGUUCUCUAAAUUUUCAAUUAUAGCUUCGUGCUUCUUAUCUUCUAGAUCUUGCUGCAUCCUCAAAGCUUUGCUUAGAAGCAUGCUCUACAAAUAAACAACCUUCGUUAAAGAAUAUUGCCAUUAUUAAAAAACAAUAGAAGUUAGGGAGAAGGAUGUUUACCUUGAAAUUUGAAUAAAAUAAGCUGCCGACGAUAUGUUGUCGUCGAUAGCGGCUGAUGUCUGUCUCUAGCUUCGGAAAACCGAUACUCUUUGAUAGAGUACCGAUGACCUUAGCUCCAGCUGAGUCCCGGAUGCAGCCCAGUUGUUCGUCAUCAAUGCCCCCAAAUAGGAGGGCACCUGACUUGUAGCCGCAAGACUUGGCGUAGUCUUUAAGUUCUUCUAUUUCGUCCUUCGUCAGUUUUUGCCCAACUAAGUUCUGGAAAGAGUAGGCUUCGUCGUCCGAAGGGUCUUCGGCUAGUUCUUUUCCUUUCUCAGGCACUGUGGCCAUGGUUUUUUCAGUAGUCGCACCAGCUUCUUCCGCAGCCAUGUCUUCCAAAAUCUUGUUGAUAUUCUCAAUCGUGGAUUUUAAGUUUGUAUCUUCGGCUGUAGCGGCUUCGGUAGCCGCGACCCCCGAAGCUACGCCCUCGACGAUUGCUGUAUCUUCGGCAGCUGCCGAUUUUUGGAUUGACGCCCUUGGCGGCGUCUUAUCGAUAACUUCAGUUACCGCAAUGAUUCUUUGCCGCUUGGGUUUGCUCAUCGUCGUCUGAUCCGGCUCGUCCACCUUUUGAAAAAGCUUCGUCAGAUGAAGCCCUAAUGGACUUAGCUUCGUGGUCGUGGGUUCAGUCAUUACCUUUAAAAUUUCUUCUAUGUCGCUAGUAGAAGGCGGUGUGGGGGUUCUCUCUUCUUCGGAUAUUUUCCGUUUCGGGGUUGAUAUUUUCCUUUUCUUCGGAAUUUUCUUCUCUGCUGCUGGUUGCUCUUCAUCCUUGGUCAGAAUUUCAGCCACUCUUUUUCUUUUGUGGCCUUCGGCACCCUUAUUCAACUGCUCAUAGUCUGGAUACUCGAAGCCCAGGGCAUCGAAUACUCGGUUCAGCCUUCGCUUCGGUCGGGUGCCGAAGGCUGCUGUCAUUAAUUGAUCCUCCUUUUUGGAGUAAUUCCCCAAGAUUUCAUUGCACAUUAUAUCAACUGUGUUUAACCACUCUUUGCAGGGUUUCUUAAAGUACUUCUUGAAUUUAAAGUGAUAAGGCAGACGAACAAGCUCCCCCUCCUUCUUCUCUCCCUCCAGCUUCGGCAUCUCCCACUCUUUUAGAGUAGGGAAAACUCUGAAUGCCAAGAACUCUUGAACUAGAUCCCUGGUGCCAAUAUUUUUUGAGAUAAUUUCAAAUUCACCCAGAGCGGCCCAGGUAGGACCCUGUAAAUCGCCGAUGCGGCAGCGUGGCCUUGUCUCUCCGAAGAUUAAUUCCAGAGGGCUUUGUACCAAUUUUUCUCUGUCUUCGUCAACUUUUACGUAGAACCACUCAGACUUCCAGCCUGCUGGCCAUUUGCUUCGGUAGCUGAUGACAGGACACUUUGUUGUCUUCCGGUAGGCAAAAUUGUAACAGCCGAAAUUAUCAUGUAGUCCGUCUGUUCUGGCCUUUGUUUGGUAAUGUAAUUCGUGGGCUCGGCAGAAGCUGUCGGCAAACGGUUCCACAGCUUGGCUUCGGAGGGCCCAGAUAUAAACAUUGAGUCUAACGAUGGCGUUAGGAGUCAAUUGGUGAAAAUAAAUGCCAAAUUUUUGCAACACAUCUCCAAUAAUUCCAUGGAGAGGAAAUCUCAGCCCAGCUUUUAAAAAGCUUUUGAAAAUUACAAUCUCAUCCUUCUCUGGCUUCGGGGUAGUCUCCUCUCCCCCGAAGCGAAGUAGCUUCUUCUGAUUUUCAUUGAAAAAACCUGCUUUCACCAUCUUCGCAAGGUCAGCUUUUGAAACAGUUGAUUUACCAAAAUCCAGGUGACUGGGCUUGCUGGGUGUAGCAAUGUGGUAGUCAUCUUCGGAGUCAGUCCCAUCAAUGUUUUCUUCUUCGGCUGUUGUCGGGUUUGCUUCGGCACCAGGCCUCUCUUCCGCAAUCACUAGACCGGAGCGCUGCAUCGCUUCGGAGAUGGGCACAGUGCCUGAACUUUCGGCUUCGUCUCCCUCACGAACAACUUUGGCAGUAGAUCGCACUCUCGCCAUUUGAUUCUGAGUUUGGGGAAGUCAGAAACCUUUUUCUUUUUUCUUUUUUCCGAAGCUCUUCUUUCUGACGAAGCAAGCGUCGAGACGGACCUUCGUUCGAUUCUGAAAGUCAAGCUUCGGCUAUGGUGAAAAUUUUGGCAGCAAAACAGUGCAAAUAGCAAUGAAUGCUGUGGUAACUUCACACCUACCUGCUUGUUUAUAUAGUACUGCAGGUACGAAGGCGAAGCGGCAAGAUUUUUACACCAGACGGGCGGUCACUUGUACUCGCUGUGUAGUGGACCGCAAAGAUCAAACAGUAACUCUGCAAGGUGGGCCUGGCACGCGCUCGGAAGCAGGAUCGUUUCUCCGCAACGAGCUCAGGGAAGGUGUUUUUUGGACCUUCGGCUUCCCGAAGCUGAAGAGGCUUUUUUCACGGGUCAAGCUCGUUACGAAGAACGAUCUAGCACCGCGAAAGGGGCUACUGUUGGGGUCGUGCUUCGGUGCGCCGAAGGUCCCACGCGAAGAAGCAGCUUCGGCUGAAGCCGUCCCAAGGAGACGGCCGAAGGUUCCUUUUAUGGAGCUUCGGCAUUACAAACCGACAUGGAGAUAGAAUGACCUUUUUAUCCAUAAUAAUCUGAGUCAAUGUUAAAAACUUUUGUAAGGGGCAUAAUUGUAAUUUGUCACAGGCUGCGACCUGUGUCUAUAAAUAGAUGAACAGUACCUCUGUACUGUUCACGCGAACCUGACUUGGCAUUUGCUUUUGCGUCACGCUUGUACUUUUACCUUCUUUCAAGACCGAAGGUACAUUUGUAAUUUGAAGUUAUUUAUAUUCGUU